rnacentral:rRNA from 1 species
UACGUAGGGUGCGAGCGUUUAACGGAAUUACUAGGGCGUAAACGUGCGCAGGCGGUGAUGUAAGACAGUUGUGAAAUCCCCCGGGCUCAACCUGGGAACUGCAUCUGUGACUGCAUCGCUGGAGUACGGUAGAGGGGGAUGGAAUUCCGCGUGUAGCAGUGAAAUGCGUAGAUAUGCGGAGGAACACCGAUGGCGAAGGCAAUCCCCUGGACCUGUACUGAC